GGUAUGAGUUCUUCCUUUUUCAUUUUUCUGCAACAGAGUUAAUCUCUGAAUUCUUUUUUUCAUAUCUACCAUUUUCUGUAAUCUUGAUUUAAUACUCUUUUCAUCAGUCUAUUAGCUUGUACCACCGAAUCAUAUAAACAAGAGUAACCGUUGAAGAGAGUGUUUGGUAAUCGUUUUUUGGGAAGAGAAAUUGUUGAGGGUGAUUGGAAGGAUUUGGACAGGGAGAAAUUAUGGAGUGUAAAAAAGAUUUAGUUAUCGCUUCACAGAGGCAUUGCUUUUGAAACAUCCAGAUCUGAUCUAUCUGGAUGAUGAUUAUCCAGAUAAUUUCCCGGAGAUCAAAGUGGUGGUUAGAAGAGAUUAUGCGAGUGAGAGGGAUAAUGUGGCUCUGGUUACUUCUGGUGGUAGCAAAGAACAUCUGCUGGUAAAUGAGGGAAUUCUAACCGCUGCUGCAUAUGGGGAUUCUUUUUCGUGUCCUUCUCCUGAAAGUGUUCUAGCAGCUAUCCGUGCAGUUACUGGCGGUAAAGGUUGCUCAUGCAUUGUAAAGAAUAAUCAUUUAGAGACUUUUAGGAUAGCUGCUGAACAAUCAAUUGAGGAAGGGUUUCUGGUUGACACACUAUCUGUGAAGGAGGUUGCUGAGGCAAUUACUUCUGCUGCGCCAGCAGCAGCUAGUGGUUCGAUUCUACAGAUUGUGAAGGAUGCAGCGACAAAGCCUGCACAUGCUGUCAGCAAAGCAGAAGCGAAGGAAAUAUGGGCGGGUUCUAUAGAUAAGAAGUGUUUUUAUUGUGGUGAGCAGUCGAGGAAACUUAACAAUAUCCAUGUUUACAAUAAUCAUAUGAAAACUGAUCAUAGGAAUAUGAUUUAACACAGAUUUGGAAGUUGUAAAUCCCAGUACUUUGAUACAGCGUGUAAUCCUAUUGACUACGAGGCUAUAGCACUAAUAGUAGCUGAAUAUGUGGAAUUGGUCUAUUAGUAAAAGUUUAAUUUUUUCUAUCUGAA